rnacentral:rRNA from 1 species
UACGUAGGGGGCUAGCGUUGUCCGGAAUCAUUGGGCGUAAAGCGCACGUAGGCGGCUUUGUAAGUUAGAGGUGAAAGCCCGGAGCUCAACUCCGGAACUGCCUUUAAGACUGCAUCGCUAGAACGUUGGAGAGGUGAGUGGAAUUCCGAGUGUAGAGGUGAAAUUCGUAGAUAUUCGGAAGAACACCAGUGGCGAAGGCGACUCACUGGACAACUGUUGACGCUGAGGUGCGAAAGCGUGGGGAGCAAACAGG